AACGAACGCUGGCGGCGUGGAUAAGACAUGCAAGUCGAACGGGAUUUUAUUUGUAGCAAUACACGUAAAGUCUAGUGGCGUAAGGGUGCGUAACACGUGGGCAAUCUGCCGAGAAGUGGGGGAUAGCUCGCCGAAAGGCGAAUUAAUACCGCAUGUGGUUAGUGAAGACAUCUUCGCGAUACCAAAGCCGGGGCAACCUGGCGCUUCUUGAUGAGCCCGCGGCCUAUCAGCUAGUUGGUGAGGUAACGGCUCACCAAGGCUAUGACGGGUAGCUGGUCUGAGAGGACGACCAGCCACACUGGAACUAAGACACGGUCCAGACACUUACGGGUGGCAGCAGUCGAGAAUUUUUCUCAAUGGGGGAAACCCUGAAGGAGCGACGCCGCGUGGAGGAUGAAGGUCUUCGGAUUGUAAACUCCUGUCAUUUGGGAACAAUUGUUGGCGAUUAACUGUCGUCAGCUUGAUAGUACCAGAAGAGGAAGAGACGGCUAACUCUGUGCCAGCCGCCGCAGUAAAAC
rnacentral:rRNA from 1 species